GAUGAACGCUGGCGGCGUGCCUAAUACAUGCAAGUCGAGCGAAGCGGGGACGGGUGAGUAACACGUGGAUAACCUACUAUAAGAAUGGGAUAACUUCGGGAAACCGGAGCAAAACCGGAUACUAAUAGAUGGAUCCGCGCUGCAUUAGCUAGUUGGGAAGGUAACGGCUUACCAAGGCAACUAUUCAUAGCCGACCUGAGAGGUGGGUCUGCCACACUGGAACUGAGACACGGUCCAGACUCCGACGGUAGGCAGCAGUAGGGAAUCUUCCGCAAUGGGCGAAAGCCUGACGGAGCAACGCCGCGUGAGUGAUGAAGGUCUUCGGAUCGUAAAACUCUGUUAUUAGGGAAGCGGUACCUAAUCAGAAAGCCACGGCUAACUACGUGCCAGCAGCCGCGGUAAUAC
rnacentral:rRNA from 1 species